CAGUAGCCGCGGUAAUACGUAGGUGGCAAGCGUUGUCCGGAAUUAUUGGGCGUAAAGCGUGCGCAGGCGGUUUUGUAAGACAGGCGUGAAAUCCCCGGGCUCAACCUGGGAAUGGCGCUUGUGACUGCAAAGCUAGAGUGCGGCAAAGGGGGAUGGAAUUCCGCGUGUAGCAGUGAAAUGCGUAGAUAUGCGGAGGAACACCGAUGGCGAAGGCAAUCCCCUGGGCCUGCACUGACGCUCAUGCACGAAAGCGUGGGGAGCGUACAGGAUUAGAUACCCGAGUAGUCCCUGUCUCUUAUAU
rnacentral:rRNA from 1 species